GUCCUUCUUGAUCACUUCACUACCAUUAUCUUGAGUUCAGUUUUACUGUUUCAUUUGUUUGAGCUGAGAGUUUAUACAUUAGCGUAUUGGUGUUGUUGAUUCAUGGUGGUGAUCUGUGUUAUUGGUGAUCUUCGGUGGUGGUGCUACAUUGAAAGUAGAGGAAGAUAAAGUGCGACAGGAAGAAGAUAGAGCGCGACAUGUUAGUCCGAGAACACACUUAACCGCAUUUGGAGCAGCGGUUAAGGAUGUCGCCCUUCGAAAGACGUUUUCACACAGUCGCACAUCGAGUUGCGAUUGCCCCCAACCGCACUUCGAGUUGUGGUUUUGAGGGUUCGCACUUCCAAGUGCGUUUGUGUUGUGAUCC
rnacentral:lncRNA from 1 species